rnacentral:lncRNA from 1 species
CCCAGGGAGGCCAUGCGCCACGGAAGCUGUACGCGUGGCAUAUUGGACUAGCGGUUAGAGGAGACCCCUCCCAUCACCAACGAAACGCAGCAAAAGGGGGCCCGAAGCCAGGAGGAAGCUGUACUCCUGGUGGAAGGA